rnacentral:rRNA from 1 species
AUUGAACGCUGGCGGCAGGCUUAACACAUGCAAGUCGAGCGGGGUGAUGGUGCUUGCACUAUCACUUAGCGGCGGACGGGUGAGUAAUGCUUAGGAAUCUGCCUAUUAGUGGGGGACAACAUCUCGAAAGGGAUGCUAAUACCGCAUACGUCCUACGGGAGAAAGCAGGGGAUCACUUGUGACCUUGCGCUAAUAGAUGAGCCUAAGUCGGAUUAGCUAGUUGGUGGGGUAAAGGCCUACCAAGGCGACGAUCUGUAGCGGGUCUGGGAGGAGGAUCCGCCACACUGGGACUGAGACACGGCCCAGACUCCGACGGGAGGCAGCAGUGGGAAUAUUGGACAAUGGGGGGAACCCUGAUCCAGCCAUGCCGCGUGUGUGAAGAAGGCCUUAUGGUUGUAAAGCACUUUAAGCGAGGAGGAGGCUCUUUUGGUUAAUACCCAAGAUGAGUGGACGUUACUCGCAGAAUAAGCACCGGCUAACUCUGUGCCAGCAGCCGCAGUAA